rnacentral:tRNA from 1 species
GCUCUCGUAGCUCAGUUGGUUAGAGCAUCCGUCUUAUGAGCGGAAGGUCGUGGGUUCGAAACCCACCGAGAGUACCA